rnacentral:rRNA from 1 species
CCUACGGGAGGCAGCAGUGAGGAAUAUUGGUCAAUGGACGAGAGUCUGAACCAGCCAAGUAGCGUGAAGGAUGACUGCCCUAUGGGUUGUAAACUUCUUUUAUAUGGGAAUAAAAUGUUCCACGUGUGGGAUUUUGUAUGUACCAUAUGAAUAAGGAUCGGCUAACUCCGUGCCAGCAGCCGCGGUAAUACGGAGGAUCCGAGCGUUAUCCGGAUUUAUUGGGUUUAAAGGGAGCGUAGGUGGAUUGUUAAGUCAGUUGUGAAAGUUUGCGGCUCAACCGUAAAAUUGCAGUUGAAACUGGAAGUCUUGAGUACAGUAGAGGAUGGCGGAAUUCGUGGUGUAGCGGUGAAAUGCUUAGAUAUCACGAAGAACUCUGAUUGCGAAGGCAGCUCACUGGACUGCAACUGACACUGAGGCUCGAAAGUGUGGGUAUCAAACAGGAUUAGAUACCCCAGUAGUC